GACAUCGUGGCCACCCCGCUGCCACCCGGGCGAGGUCUGUUAGCAAUAAAAACCAGCGGUACUUGCCGGGGCGGGUCCGGGCGCGGCUCCGCGGGGAAGUUCCCCCCGAAAGUUGGGCGCGGGGUGGGCUGGGGUUGUUUGGGGUUGAUUUCCUCCUUUCCUUGUUGUUGCUCUCGUUGUUCGUCGAAUUCUCUGUCGGUGACGGUGACGCUGAUGCUGUCGGUGCUGCCCUGCGGGCGGCUCAGGACAGAUUCUGAGUGGAUCUAACCAAAGCUAUUUGGAGCAGGAAUGAGGAGGGGGGGAUUUGGGGAAUUUUGUGGAUUUUGUAGAUUGUGUGGGAUUCUGUGGGACGGCGUGAGCUUUUCUGGAUUUUUCUGGAUUUUUCUGGAUUUUUCUGGAUUUUUCUGGAUUGUGUGGGUGGUGCAGAUGUUGUGGAUUGCAUGGGUUUUGUAGAUUGUGUGGAUUUCAUGGAUUGUGUGAAUUUAGGGGAUUUUGUGGAUUGUGUGGGAUUGUGUGGAUGAUGUGGAUUGUGGGGAUUUGGGGAUUUUGUGGAUUUUCUGGAUUGUGUGAAUGGAGCACAUGGUGUGGAUGGUGUGAGCUGUGUGGAUUGUGUGGGAUUGUGUGAAUUUUGUGGAUUUUGUAGAUUGUGCGAAUUUUUUGGAUCAUGUAGAUGGUGUGGAUUUUGUGGAUUGUGUGGAUUUUGUGGAUUGUGUGGAUUUUAUGGAUUGUGUGGAUGGUUUGGAUUUUGUGGAUUUUAUGGAUUGUGUGGAUUGUGUGGGAUUAUGUGAAUUUUGUGGAUGGUGUGGAUGGUUUGGAUUUUAUGGAUUGUGUGGAUUUUGUGGAUUGUGUGGAUUUUAUGGAUUGUGUGGAUGGUUUGGAUUUUGUGGAUUUCAUGGAUUGUGUAGAUUGUGUGGGAUUAUGUGAAUUUUGUGGAUGGUGUGGAUGGUUUGGAUUUUAUGGAUUGUGUGGAUUUUUUGCACUGUGUGGCCUCCACAAAGCUUCUCCUUUGCCAGGCAGCCAAACCCUGGUGCCUUUUACACUCCCUGGCUAAAAUCCAUCCUGGUCCCACCAAAAUGGGCUAAAAUCCCCAGGAGCAGAGGAUCCCCAUCAGGAACUUUUCACACCUCCAGCAAAUUAAAAUUUUCCUCCACUGAGCAAAUCCUCCUCACCCAACAGGACCCUCCAGGCCAGGAGCUCCAAAUCCUCCUGAUUUUAAUCCCAAUUUGACGUUCAAAUCCCUGGGAAUUGUGUGGCAAAUCCCCCUUCUCCGAGUGGGAAUCAGAGCCCUGGUUUUACAGACCUGCAGUGGAAUUCAUGAGCCACUCACUCCCAGAAUUUCCAACAAAUGUCACCAAGGUUUGCGUUUUUUUAUAGGAGGAAAACUUCAGGCUGGGUUUUCACAAUAAAAUCUGUUUUAGUGCCUUCCCCCCGCUGCCAAAUUAGUGCUGAGUGUGCUUCUCUGUUUUGCUUUUAUGUGCCCGAG
rnacentral:lncRNA from 12 species